CGACCCGGUGGCCCAAGCGGGGGUGCCCCACCCGAUCCCAUUCCGAACUCGGUCGUGAAAGCCCCCAGCGCCGAUGGUACUGCGUCUCAAGACGCGGGAGAGUAGGCCGCCGCCGGGUC
rnacentral:rRNA from 1 species